rnacentral:rRNA from 1 species
UACGAAGGGGGCUAGCGUUGCUCGGAAUCACUGGGCCUAAAGGGUGCGUAGGCGGGUCUUUAAGUCAGGGGUGAAAUCCUGGAGCUCAACUCCAGAACUGCCUUUGAUACUGAAGAUCUUGAGUUCGGGAGAGGUGAGUGGAACUGCGAGUGUAGAGGUGAAAUUCGUAGAUAUUCGCAAGAACACCAGUGGCGAAGGCGGCUCACUGGCCCGAUACUGACGCUGAGGCACGAAAGCGUGGGGAGCAAACAGG